GUUUAGCAAAAGAACUUGAAGAACAUGAUGGCGAAUUGCCUGGUGUGGAGAAACAUCCGGGGCUGAUGGACUGUAUUGAUUAGAGGCUCAUCCAAAAUAGAGGAAGCAUGCGAAAUCUACGCCAGAGCAGCAAACAUGUUCAAAAUGGCCAAAAACUGGAGUGCUGCUGGAAACGCGUUCUGCCAGGCCGCACAGCUGCACCUGCAGCUCCAGAGCAAGCACGACGCAGCCACCUGCUUUGUGGACGCCGGCAACGCAUUCAAGAAAGCCGACCCCCAAGAGGCCAUUAACUGUUUGAUGCGAGCAAUCGAGAUCUACACAGACAUGGGCCGAUUCACGAUUGCGGCCAAGCACCACAUCUCCAUUGCUGAGAUCUAUGAGACGGAGUUGGUGGACAUUGAGAAGGCCAUCGCCCACUACGAGCAGUCCGCAGACUACUACAAAGGCGAAGAGUCCAACAGGUAGCCCCCUUCCUGCCUGCCCCAGCCCCGCAGGGACCGCCACCACUUCCCCUCACUACUCCUCCCCACACAGCUCAGCCAACAAGUGUCUGCUGAAGGUG
rnacentral:sRNA from 1 species